rnacentral:rRNA from 1 species
GACGAACGCUGGCGGCGUGCUUAACACAUGCAAGUCGAACGGAAAGGCCCUGCUUUUGUGGGGUGCUCGAGUGGCGAACGGGUGAGUAUCACGUGAGUAACCUGCCCUUGAUUUUGGGAUAACUUCAGGAAACUGGGGCUAAUACCGUAUAGGAUCUCCUGCUGCAUUGUGGGGGGUGGAAAGUUUCGGCGGUUGGGGAUGGACUCGCGGCUUAGCAGCUUGUUGGUGGGGUAGUGGCUUACCAAGGCUGUGAAGGGUAGCCGGCUGGUGUGGGUGAACGGCGACAUUGGGACUGCGAUACGGCCCAGACUCCUACGGGAGGCAGCGGUGGCAAAUAUUGCACAGUGAGCGGAAGCCUGAUGCAGCAACGCCGCGUGCGGGAUGACGGCCUUCGGGUUGUAAACCGCUUUCGCCUGUGACGAAGCGUGAGUGACGGUAAUGGGUAAAGAAGCACCGGCUAACUACGUG